UCCCUGGUGGCUCAGAGGUUAAAGCGUCUGCCUAUAAUGCGGGAGACCUGGGUUCAAUCCCCGGUUCAGGAA
rnacentral:tRNA from 1 species